UAGCGGUGGAAUGCGCAGAUNUCAGGAGGAACACCAACGGCGAAGNCAGGUNUCUGGGCCAAUACUGACANUGAGGAGCGAAAGUCUGGGGAGCGAACAGGAUUAGAUACCCUGGUAGUCCAGACCGUAAACGGUGGGCACUAGUUGUGGGAACCUUCCACGGUUUCUGCGACGCAGCUAACGCAUUAAGUGCCCCGCCUGGGGAGUACGAUCGCAAGAUUAAAACUCAAAGGAAUUGACGGGGCCCCGCACAAGCAGCGGAGCAUGCGGCUCAAUUCGACGCAACGCGAAGAACCUUACCAAGGCUUGACAUAUAGGGAAAAGUGGCAGAGAUGUCAUGUCCGCAAGGGCCCUAUACAGGUGGUGCAUGGUUGUCGUCAGCUCGUGUCGUGAGAUGUUGGGUUAAGUCCCGCAACGAGCGCAACCCUCGUUCUGUGUUGCCAGCAUUUAGUUGGGGACUCACAGGAGACUGCCGGGGUUAACUCGGAGGAAGGUGAGGAUGACGUCAAAUCAUCAUGCCCCUUAUGUCUUGGGCUGCACGCAUGCUACAAUGGCCGGUACAGAGGGCUGCAAUACCGUAAGGUGGAGCGAAUCCCAAAAAGCCGGUCUCAGUUCGGAUUGAGGUCUGCAACUCGACCUCAUGAAGUUGGAGUUGCUAGUAAUCGUAGAUCAGCAACGCUACGGUGAAUACGUUCCCGGGGCUUGUACACACCGCCCGUCACGUCACGAAAGUCGGUAACACCCAAAGUCAGUGGCCCAACCGCAAGGGGGGAGCUGCCUAAGGUGGGAUCGGUGAUUGGGACGAAGUCG
rnacentral:rRNA from 1 species